rnacentral:lncRNA from 1 species
UAAUCAAGGGGUAAAGCGAAGUAAGAGCGUACAGAACCAUCAGCUAGGACCAUGGUUCUGCGCUCAAGCAUGUGAAACCCGUAUGAAGGAGGAGGGGGUGGGUCACGGAAAGGGAAAGGGGGUAGGAGGCUUAAGUGCGUCUGGGUAUUCGGGUCGGGUUUUGGUGAUGGGUUGUUGUUGUGAUUAAUAGGUUUCUGGUUUGGGUUCGGAUGAUUAUUGGGGUUUGGGGAUUUGGGGGAGGGUUUCGAAUUGGGGUCGCCAGAUCCGGAGGCGGCAACGGCGGCGGCGGAAGGGUUUUUGCCGGCGGGGGGAUCCCAUCGAGACUUUUUCUUGGAGGUCUGGGUAUUGGGGUCGGGUUUUGGUGAUGGGUUGUUGCUGUGAUUAAUAGGUUUCUGGUUUGGGUUCAGAUGAUUAUUGGGGUUUGUGGGUUUGGGGGAGGGUUUCGAAUUGGGGUCGCCGGAUCCGGAGGCGGCAGCGG